rnacentral:rRNA from 1 species
AAGUGCAUGUGGUGGAUGCCUUGGCGAUUACAGGCGAUGAAGGACGUAGUAGCCUGCGAAAAGCUGCGGGGAGCUGGCAAACAAGCUUUGAUCCGCAGAUGUCCGAAUGGGGAAACCCGGCCCGUAUGGGUCAUCCCUUGCUGAAU